UAGUCCUGGCUGCCCGGGAACUCACUCUGUAGACCAGGCUGGCCUCGAACUCGGAUUCUCCUGCUCCUGCUUCCCCAGUGGGGACAUUAAAGGCGUGCACCACCACUGCCAGGACAAAAAUACCCUUUUCAAUAGAGCUGUUUUUUCACUACAAGGCCCUCUUCCCUCCCUUAAAGCAGAAGGCCACAGCAAAGGAGAAAGGGUUUCUCUGUGGCUUUGAAGAUAGUAAAUUUUUAAGAAGAGUGAAAAGUAAAGUGACCACUUGUGUAUGCUACAUUCACAUCUCAGCGCCUCCCACUUCUUACAUCUCUCUUAGACAAAAGAUAUUCAGCUGGAAAAACAUCAAUGGAGAAGCUCCAUCUCAGGGAUCUCAGUGGGACCUCCAGAUGUUACAGGAUCCUGAAGAGAGCACCCCAGAGGCCUUAAUUAGUCGAGUGACAUGGAGCCUGUAUUUCCUGCCACAGGGCUACCCCUUACAGAGUACAGGGAAGCAGGGCUGUCCCAUACAGAGUACAAGGAAGCAGGGCUGUCCCAUACAGAGUACAGGGAAGCAGCUGCCUCCAAUAUGCUUGAGCUUUUACAGACAAAAGCCCUAAUUGUGUCAUUCAGAAAGGGAGCUGUGAAAUCUGCAGGAAGCAAGCAAGCACUGAUACAGAAGCAGAGAGACAGCAGUUAAGGGUCAGGCUGUUCUCAUAACCUCAAGAUCAGGGACACACUGUAUGGAAAUGUAUGGCUAGUCUACAUAACCAGUUUACCCAAGAUAAUUUUAGCACUUAAAGAUUUUCUUAAGAAUGCUUUAAUGAGAUGGUAUUAACUAUAGUUCAGGGGCCCACUACAG
rnacentral:lncRNA from 1 species